UAUUCUGCCCCACGGGGAAGGAUGAGAAGCUUCGACUAAGGUUCGACUCGAGCGAAGCGAGAGAACGUUGCCGCAGGCAACGGCCCGAAGGGCGAGGCGCUUUAGCGCCGAGUAAUCCUUCCCC
rnacentral:sRNA from 1 species